AUCCCAUGAUGAGGACACUUACGAAGUAAUUCUUUGAAUCGCUCCCAAGCUUCAUACGAUGAUCUUGUUCCUCAACUUAGCGUUCUUGCUAAGCGGGAAAUAUUUAACCAAAAAUCUUUCUACUAAUUCU
rfam:Gossypium hirsutum cultivar TM-1 chromosome 16, whole genome shotgun sequence